CGUGACACCCCAUCCCUGGCCUCCUCCUCUCACAAGGGAGCUGUACCCACCAGUGCCUCUAAGAUAGCCGGUGCUCCUACCAAAACAAUAAGCAUUUGUAUUUUCUUUCUAAAUAACCCUUAAAGCCCUCAAUAUAUAUCUGUUGGGGUCUAGAAGAUCUUGGCGGAAAAAAAAAAUCUAUAAACCAAAGGGGACAGUUUAAUGAGCAGGAGUAAUUAC